rnacentral:rRNA from 1 species
GACGAACGCUGGCGGCGUGCUUAACACAUGCAAGUCGAACGGAAAGGCCCUGCUUUUGUGGGGUGCUCGAGUGGCGAACGGGUGAGUAACACGUGAGUAACCUGCCCUUGACUUUGGGAUAACUUCAGGACACUGGGGCUAAUACCGGAUAGGAGCUACUGCUGCUUGGUGGGGGUUGGAAAGUUUCGGCGGUUGGGGAUGGACUCGCGGCUUAUCAGCUUGUUGGUGGGGUAGUGGCUUACCAAGGCUUUGACGGGUAGCCGGCCUGAGAGGGUGACCGGCCACAUUGGGACUGAGAUACGGCCCAGACUCCUACGGGAGGCAGCAGUGGGGAAUAGUGCACUAUGGGCGGAAGCCUGAUGCAGCAACGCCGCGUGCGGGAUGACGGCCAUCGGGUUGUAAACCGCUUUCGCCUGUGACGAAGCGUGAGUGACGGUAAUGGGUAAAGAAGCACCGGCUAACUACGUG